CCUACGGGUGGCAGCAGUGAGGAAUAUUGGUCAAUGGGCGCGAGCCUGAACCAGCCAAGUAGCGUGAAGGAUGACUGCCCUACGGGUUGUAAACUUCUUUUAUCAAGGAAUAAAGUGAGGCAUGUGUGCCUUUUUGUAUGUACUUUAUGAAUAAGGAUCGGCUAACUCCGUGCCAGCAACCGCGGGAAUACGGAGGGUCCGAACGUUAUCCGGAUUUAUUGGGUUUAAAGGGAGCGUAGAUGGGUUGUUAAGUCAGUUGGGAAAGUGUGCGGCUCAACCGUAAAAUUGCCAUUGAUACUGGCAGUCUUGAGUACAGGUGAGGUAGGCGGAAUUCGUGGUGUAGCGGUGAAAUGCUUAGAUAUCACGAAGAACUCCGAUUGCGAAGGCAGCUUACUAAACUGCCACUGACAUUGAUGCUCGAAAGUGUGGGGAUCAAACAGGAUUAGAUACCCUUGUAGUC
rnacentral:rRNA from 1 species